rnacentral:rRNA from 1 species
AUUGAACGCUGGCGGCAUGCUUUACACACGCAAGUCGAACGGUAACAGGCCGCAAGGUGCUGACGAGUGGCGAACGGGUGAGUAAUGCAUCGGAACGUGCCCAGUCGUGGGGGAUAACGCAGCGAAAGCUGUGCUAAUACCGCAUACGAUCUGUGGAUGAAAGCGGGGGACCGUAAGGCCUCGCGCGAUUGGAGCGGCCGAUGUCAGAUUAGGUAGUUGGUGGGGUAAAGGCCUAACAAGCCGACGAUCUGUAGCGGGUCUGAUAGGACGACCAGCCAGACUGGGACUGAGACACGGCGCAAGCUCCUCAGGGGGGCAGCAGUGGGGAAUGUUGGACAGUGGGCGCAAGCCUGAUCCAGGAACGCCGCGUGCAGCAAGAAGGGCUUCGGGUUGUAAACUGCUUUUGUGCGGAACGAAACGGUCUGGGUUAAUACCCUGGGCUAAUGGCGGUACCGUAAGAAGAAGCACCGGCUAACUACGUGCCAGCCGCCGCCGUAACAC